rnacentral:rRNA from 16 species
AUGAACGCAUCAUUGUGUGAUUCUUUAGACUAUCAGCUCUGGUUGGUGGUGUGGUGGACAACGAUGGCUAUCACAGGUAGCAGCAGGUUAGU